rnacentral:rRNA from 1 species
UACAGAGGUCUCAAGCGUUGUUCGGAUUCAUUGGGCGUAAAGGGUGCGUAGGCGGCGCGGUAAGUCGGGGGUGAAAUCUCGGGGCUUAACUCCGAAACUGCAUUCGAAACUGCAGGGCUAGAGUCCUGGAGAGGAAGGUGGAAUGCUUGGUGUAGAGGUGAAAUUCGUAGAUAUCAAGCGGAACACCGGUGGCGAAGGCGGCCUGCUGGACAGUGACUGACGCUGAGACGCGAAAGCGUGGGGAGCAAACAGG